rnacentral:rRNA from 1 species
AUACGGAGGAUCCGAGCGUUAUCCGGAUUUAUUGGGUUUAAAGGGUGCGUAGGCGGCCUUUUAAGUCAGCGGUGAAAGUCUGUGGCUCAACCAUAGAAUUGCCGUUGAAACUGGGGGGCUUGAGUAUGUUUGGGGCAGGCGGAAUGCGUGGUGUAGCGGUGAAAUGCUUAGAUAUCACGCAGAACCCCGAUCGCGAAGGCGGCCGGCAAAGCCAUGACUGACGCUGAUGCACGAAAGCGUGGGGAUCGAACAGGAUUAGAUACCCUGGUAGUCCACGCAGUAAACGAUGAUCACUAGCUGUUUGCGAUACACAGUAAGCGGCACAGCGAAAGCGUUAAGUGAUCCACCUGGGGAGUACGCCGGCAACGGUGAAACUCAAAUGAAUUGGCGGGG